GACGAACGCUGGCGGCGUGCUUAACACAUGCCAGUCGAACGGAAAGGCCCUGCUUUUGUGGGGUGCUCGAGUGGCGAACGGGUGAGUAACACGUGAGUAACCUGCCCUUGACUUUGGGAUAACUUCAGGAAACUGGGGCUAAUACCGGAUAGGAGCUCCUGCUGCAUGGUGGGGGUUGGAAAGUUUCGGCGGUUGGGGAUGGACUCGCGGCUUAUCAGCUUGUUGGUGGGGUAGUGGCUUACCAAGGCUUUGACGGGUAGCCGGCCUGAGAGGGUGACCGGCCACAUGGGGACUGGGAUACGGCCCAGACUCCUACGGGAGGCAGCAGUGGGGAAUAUUGCACAAUGGGCGGAAGCCUGAUGCAGCAACGCCGCGUGCGGGAUGACGGCCUUCGGGUUGUAAACCGCUUUCGCCUGUGACGAAGCGUGAGUGACGGUAAUGGGUAAAGAAGCACCGGCUAACUACGUG
rnacentral:rRNA from 1 species